rnacentral:rRNA from 1 species
UACGUAGGGGGCGAGCGUUGUCCGGAGUUACUGGGCGUAAAGCGCACGCAGGCGGUCUGCUAAGUUUGGAGUGACAGUUGGUGGCUUAACUGCCAUAGUGCUUCGAAAACUGACAGACUUGAGGGCUUCAGAGGGACACGGAAUUCCGGGUGGAGUGGUGAAAUGCGUAGAGAUCCGGAGGAACACCAAAGGCGAAGGCAGUGUCCUGGGGAGUACCUGACGCUCAGGUGCGAAAGCCAGGGGAGCGAACGGG